rnacentral:lncRNA from 1 species
ACCCCGGGUGAGGAGUACGAAAAACUCUAGGGGCUCCUAUCCUACAACCAUGAUACUAAACCUCCAGACUUUCCUAUCAAGGGUCAUGUCCUAAGAAACCCGCAUUCUAGCCAUGUCAUGCCUAAUCACCUCUCCCCAAUACCUCUUAGGCCUCCCUCUGCCUCGUUGUACGCCGACCAUCGCCAGACGCUCACAACUCCUCACUGGGGCAUCAGGACUUAUCCUCCACACAUGCCCGAACCACCUCAUCAUCGCUUCUCGCAUCGUCUCAUCCACCG